AACGAACGCUGGCGGCAUGCCUAACACAUGCAAGUCGAACGAGACCUUCGGGUCUAGUGGCGCACGGGUGCGUAUCGCGUGGGAAUCUGCCCUUGGGUUCGGAAUAACAGUUGGAAACGACUGCUAAUACCGGAUGAUGUCUUCGGACCAAAGAUUUAUCGCCCAGGGAUGAGCCCGCGUAAGAUUAGCUAGUUGGUGAGAUAAAGGCUCACCAAGGCUACGAUCUUUAGCUGGUCUGAGAGGAUGAUCAGCCACACUGGGACUGAGACACGGCCCAGGCUCCUACGGGAGGCAGCAGUGGGGAAUAUUGGACAAUGGGCGAAAGCCUGAUCCAGCAAUGCCGCGUGAGUGAUGAAGGCCUUAGGGUUGUAAAGCUCUUUUACCCGGGAUGAUAAUGACAGUACCGGGAGAAUAAGCCCCGGCUAACUCCGUGCCAGCAGCCGCCGCGG
rnacentral:rRNA from 1 species